GAUGAACGCUGGCGGCGUGCCUAAUACAUGCGAGUCGAGCGAACAGACGAGGAGCUUGCUCCUCUGACGUUAGCGGCGGACGGGUGAGUAACACGUGGAUAACCUACCUAUAAGACUGGGAUAACUUCGGGAAACCGGCGCUAAUACCGGAUAAUAUAUUGAACCGCAUGGUUCAAUAGUGAAAGACGGUUUUGCUGUCACUUAUAGAUGGAUCCGCGCCGCAUUAGCUAGUUGGUAAGGUAACGGCUUACCAAGGCAACGAUGCGUAGCCGACCUGAGAGGGUGAUCGGCCACACUGGAACUGAGACACGGUCCAGACUACUACGGGAGGCAGCAGUAGGGAAUCUUCCGCAAUGGGCGAAAGCUUGACGGAGUAACGCCGCGUGAGUGAUGAAGGUCUUCGGAUCGUAAAACUCGGUUAUUAGGGAAGAACAAAUGUGUAAGUAACUAUGCACGUCUUGACGGUACCUAAUCAGAAAGCCACGGCUAACUACGUG
rnacentral:rRNA from 1 species